rnacentral:sRNA from 1 species
AACUGGGAUCAGCUAUGAGACCCUGGGGCCGGAGGAGCUUCGCAGCCUGCUAACCACGCAAUGUGGGGUGAUUUCUGAACACACCAAGAAGAUGUGCACAAGGUGAGCACAGAACCUAGAAAGGGGGCCAGGUGCUUCCUGCGCACUCACCAUGGGCAUGGGUCGGGAGUACCCCUGGACUUGAGCAAUGGGGCUCCUGCCCUUCCCCUUCCCUCCUGUAAUGAUUAGGCCUUUGGCCACAAUCUGGGGACGAAUCUGCAUUCACCCCUUCCCUGUCUGUGCCCGUGGCUCCUGCCUUGCCGAGGGGAGGGGCUUUACCUGAGUUCCUCAGAUCCCUCCCUGCCUUACCUCACCACCAGGUCCCUGCGCUGCCCACAGCACACAGAUGAGCAGAGGCGAACCGUACGGAUUUAUUUUCUCGGGCCCUCGGCGUAAGUGGCCCUACAGGAAGGGUGGGGGGUUGUGACCAGUUAGGGUGAUGAUCACUAUCUCUAAAGCCCUUCUUUGGCUCAUCCCCUUUUCAGCGUCCUUCCAGAGGUCGA